rnacentral:rRNA from 1 species
UCUGAUUAGGUAGUUGGUAAGGUAACGGCUUACCAAGCCGACGAUCAGUAGCCGGCCUGAGAGGGUGACCGGCCACAUUGGGACUGAGACACGGCCCAAACUCCUACGGGAGGCAGCAGUGGGGAAUAUUGCACAAUGGGGGAAACCCUGAUGCAGCGACGCCGCGUGAGCGAUGAAGUAUUUCGGUAUGUAAAGCUCUAUCAGCAGGGAAGAAGAUGACGGUACCUGACUAAGAAGCCCCGGCUAACUAC